rnacentral:lncRNA from 1 species
CCUGGAAAAAGCAAGAAGUACAAAAAUCCGUUGUCACUGUGUAAAUGGGAACAACCUACUGUCUUUAGAUACAUAGGGAGAAAUAAUAGGUUUAACAGCACAGUAAAUGCUAGUUUUAAAAAAGCAGUUGACUCAAACAAUGUAAUGAUGUGACCUCUACACCAGAUUUUAAUGUUGAAGAAGGGUCCUAGACUGGUAUUUCUGCAGACUUAAUUACCUCUCAGGCCUGGCUGUUCCUGCAAAUGAUUGCCAGCAGCUGUAGCAAACUACUUAAUUCUGGGAUGACAUGGAUGAAAUUUGUUGGCCCAGGAUAUGUGAAAGGGCAGACUAGAUGACCUGAUGGCUCUUUCUGGCUUCACAUUCUAUUAGUUUGCUGAUCAUAUCUGUGGGAUUAGAAGUGUCUUCUGAGAGUUAUGAUGUCCAGGCUAUUUGUCGCGUCAGUUCAGUAACGUCCCAGAUUAGGAAACCAGAAAUGGAGCUUCUUUGAUGUUCUCCAAACACAGGAAUUGCCUGAUGUCUCUUGGAUUAGUUUAGCCCAUGCAGUGAUUAAAAGAUGUUACGUGAAGUGCAAACAAAGUUUUUUGUUUUUUUUUUUUUUCUUCAGUCUAGCAACCAACAAUCACACUAGCAGGCCUAACUCUCCACUCUGUUAUGACGUAACCCUGCUGGUUUUAACAGAGUCAUGCUGGCGUCAAAAUAAUUUAAAGGACCAGCAAAUGAGAUAUAGCAGCUGAAAUCCAUAGACCAUUUAAAAAAAAAUUAACAAAUCUGGAAAAUUGAUUGGCAGCCUCCCCUUUAUCCCUCCCUUCCUCAAGACAUGGGUGCUCAUAUUUCAGGAGUUGGCCUAAGAGACAGAAACUAAAGUCUGGACUUUUUUUUUUUUUUUUUCCCUCCUCUCUUUUUCUCUUUUCCCCCUUGAGCGUCUGUUUAUCUUCCCUUCGGUUCAUGAUUGUUCUUUUCUCAGUGUAUUCUUUGCUGCUUUGUUUAGCACAAGGAGGCUCCUGCCAUUUCCUUUGGCCUGAAGGAUCCCAGUGCACUUAUGAAUACUUCAAUUCAUUACUGGAACGAAUUCUUUUCCCAAUAAAUCAGGAGGAGGUCUCAUUCUGCAAGAGGAGGAAGACUAGGAUACUUCUUGAAGUACACCAACCCAGGAGAGGAGAGGGGAGGAGAAGAGAGCCUUCCUGCUGCAGGAAGGAAGAAGGUUAAAGAUGCCAAAGCAGCACACUGGAACAAGUCUUGAUGUCUCAAGUGCAGAGUCUCAUACAUUCUGUGUGUCUUAAUCAGACUGUGCCAGGAACAUAUUGCCUUAUAAAAUAUCAUAGUUUCUGUGACAUGUAGGUUCAGUAUUCUAAGACUGUAUUUUUGAGAAUUAAAUCAAUAAGACUCUUAGGUGAGACAAACUUGUGUAUUUACCUUGAUUAUCACAAAAAGAGUUUUCUGUCCUUCUUGUCAUAUAGAAAAUACUUGAGUCUUGUGGAAUUUCCAAGGAUAAAAUACAGAUCAUUCCAGAAUGAGCAGAAACUGCUGAAAACAUCAGUUUUGAAAACAUUGUUCUCCUUUUAAAACAUUUAGAAACAAUUAAAAUGAUUAAUAGGUUUUAAAAAUAAAUUUCCUAUGGCUUUCA